UAAGAAUAAUAAAAUACUAUUUGGAGUUAUCAACACAAUCUACAAACAUUCCUUAUAAGAACAAUUUUUCUAGUUGAUCUUCUGUGAAUAACUUAUUGCUUAUCAAUCCUGCAAAGUAUUGCCUAUUUCAUAAAUCUCUCCACACACUUAUGGUAACCAUUGAUUACUGGAUUAAAUAAUUAAAAUGUUUUAUGAGAAUAGUCAAAUACUCAAAAAGGGUUUCAUUUAUCAAUUCUAGAAUCAGUUUUCAACUAUUCCGUUUCUCUUCUCUGUUGAACUUCUUUUUUAUCCACCUUGCACAAUUUUACAGGGUAUACGAAGAAGGCGUAAUCUACAGUCCCCGCCCUAAUUGCGCAACUAUUUCUGUUCGGAACUGUUUGGUUAAACUCUUUGGCGAAAUAUGCGCUCAUUUCCGUGGCAAAACGAAAGCGUACGCCGGACAGUUUCACGGAAAUGAAGCGGCAAUUAAGACUCCAAUUUGGCUAAGUGAUCAGUUAGCUGCACUUACACACACACACACACACACACAUACGCACAGCAACAGUCACUUAAAGAGUAGCAAACGCUUCACGCUAACCACUUGAACUUUACAUCAUGAAGGGCUACAAAAAAAGUAUCGAGGGAAGGAAAAAAAUUCCAUUGGAGCAGCGUCAAGUGUUUUGGCUGAUUCGACAAAAAAAAAAAAAAAAAAAACACAAGCGGCGAAGAAAACAAAUCACAACAUUAAGCGAAACUCUUACACCUAAAACCAAAAUAUUUUUGUAUUUUUCUGUGGAAAUCUGCGCAUUCAUCUGAAAGACAAAAACUCUAUAGAUAAACGACAACAACAAAAAUAAUAAAAGGGGGAAAAACUGGGGGAAUGCGAAGCGACCUUCGUCAAGCUGAAGCUGCAGCUUAGGCUGAGGCUGAGGCUGAGACUGAGGCUGGGGCAGCAGCAUUACAGUUUGUUUUGUCAGCGCUGCAAGUGGGCGUGGCCGCAAUUAAUUUGAUUGCAGCUAUAAAUAGCCAUGGCUUGCAGUCGUCUGCCGCAAUCUGUCGGCACGCCUACUUUGCUAUUUUUUUCUUCUUUUUCUUUGCUAGGCAAAGGCGACGCUUGGAAUGCGCCUAAUCGAUGCAAAAUCGCCCCAAAACUUGUUCUAAGCUCGUGUAGGCAAUGCAAAGGCAAAGGCGAGAAGACGAGAUGUUAAGAGCUUAGAAGAAAUGCAGCACAUGAGACCACCAUCAACGGGGAGAACUGAGCAGAGCAGGCAAGAGAGUGAGAGAUGAAGUCAUGUCUAAUAACUGGAACUAAAGCAUGUGCCACGGCAACAGCAGGCGAGCAAUUAGCGUUUGCCCACAGAGCGAUAUGAAAAUGAAAAUGAUGUAGAAAAUGGUAACAAAAAAAAAAAUACUUGAGCAUAUGUAUUUUUUUCUUUCUUUCUCAUUGGGGUUCAAUAACCUGCCCAGCGGUCUAUCGACUAUCGAUAACAUCGCUGAACCACAACUGGACAAGCUGUUGGCAAUUCGCAAAAGCAGCGAAGAAUUCAUGCAAAGCUCGGAUGAUUAAUCAAUGCCCUCCCCCAUGCCAAAAGCAACAAUGCAAAACAAGAAGAAGAAUCAGAAGAAGAGCAACUAAGUAUGUAGAAGAAACAGCUGGAGUUGGAGUUGGAGUUGGAGCUGCGGCACAUUGCACGGACUGAGUGAGUGAUAAGAACUGAGACCGGAGACCGGAGACCGAGACUGGAACUGUGGGCAAUGAGUCAGCGUCAGUGCGAUUGGAAUUCUGCGCGCUUGGAGGAUUUAUUAACAAGAAUAAUAAAAACCGAAACAGAAACAGACGAAGACGAAGACGCAGAGCCGGCAACCAAACCGGUUGGCAAACUUGCAUACCCAGCAGUCAACAAGUUGAAAUUUACAGAGUAUCUUCGCUAGCAUCAGCUAUAAAUUCAGCAAAGAACUUUGCAUGUCAAUUGCCAACUUAAAAUAUUGCUAUGCGGGUGCCAUAAAUAUAGUUUUAGCAACAAACUAACAAUAGCCUUUUUAUUACUUCAUUCCGCUGUUUUUAGAGAGUUCUCAAUGUUUAUAAUAAUUAUAGAGAACUAACAGACCCGCUGCUAAGAAAAAGAAUUUCCGAUUUAUGAUUUGUUAUACUAAUUUUUGAGAAACUUCUUAACAGA